rfam:Streptomyces sp. CB02056 scaffold1, whole genome shotgun sequence.
CUUCAGCGAGCCCAGCCGCAGCGGCCGGUCCCGGUCCUGCCCGUAGGCGGCCAGCAGGGCGCGCGCCUC